AGAAUUGAUCUUGGUCAGGACGAACGCUGGCGGCGUGCUUCAUACAUGCAAGUCGAACGCGAAGUCACCUUCGGGUGAUGGAAAGUGGCGGACGGGUGAGUAAUGUGUAGAGAAUCUGCCCUUUAGCGGGGGACAACAGUUGGAAACGACUGCUAAUACCCCAUAUGCGCGUAGCUGAGAUGCUAUUCGUGAAAACUCCGGUGCUAAAGGAUGAGUCUGCAUCUGAUUAGCUAGUUGGGGGUGUAAUGGACCACCAAGGCGACGAUCAGUAGCUGGUUUGAGAGGAUGAUCAGCCACAAUGGGACUGAGACACGGCCCAUACUCCUACGGGAGGCAGCAGUAGGGAAUUUUGCGCAAUGGGGGCAACCCUGACGCAGACCAACGCCGCGUGAUUGAAUAAGCCCUUCGGGGUGUAAAGAUCUGUCAGUGGGGACGAAACUUGACGGUACCCACAGAGGAAGCAUCGGCUAACUCCGUGCCAGCAGCAGC
rnacentral:rRNA from 1 species